rnacentral:rRNA from 1 species
CCCGAAUCCUGACACAGGGAGGUAGUGACAAGAAAUAACAAUACAGGGCUACUUCUAGUCUUGUAAUUGGAAUGAGUACAACUUACAUCUCUUCACGAGGAUCAAUUGGAGGGCAAGUCUGGUGCCAGCAGCCGCGGUAAUUCCAGCUCCAAUAGCGUAUAUUAAAGUUGUUGCAGUUAAAAAGCUCGUAGUCGGAUUUCGGGUCGGGCCGAGCGGUCUGCCGAUGGGUAUGCACUGUUCGGCGCGGCCUUCUUUCCGGAGACCGCGGCUACUCUUAACUGAGCGGGCGUGGGAGACGGAUCGUUUACUUUGAAAAAAUCAGAGUGUUUCAAGCAGGCAGCUCGCUCUUGCAUGGAUUAGCAUGGGAUAAUGAAAUAGGACUCUGGUGCUAUUUUGUUGGUUUCGAACACCGGAGUAAUGAUUAACAGGGACAGUCAGGG